AAAAAUGUUUCAUUAAAUUCAUGUUGGUAAAAUAAAUAUUUAAGGCAGCAUUUUAUUAUUUUGACAUCCCCCUCCACGAAUAAUUCUUCGCGCCGGAGCUGAACAAUCAUUCUGGACACCACCAAACAGUUCAUGAAACUAUUUCUCUUUAUGCUAACGAAAAUCAGUCGGGGACUCCUAUAAGAUAUAGUCAAUAUAUUAGGUACCUAAACGUUGAACUCGGGAUACUUGAUCGCCCGACCAAAGUUUUUGGUGGUGGGUGGAUUGUGCUAGUGGUGAG